AAGCUCGUAGUUGAACCUUGGACCUGGCUGAUCUGUCCUCCUAAUCGAGCGUACGGAUUCGGUCGGGUCUUUCCUUCUGGGGAACCCUAUGUCCUUCAUUGGGUGUAGUGGGGAACCAGGACUUUUACCUUGAAAAAAUUAGAGUGUUCAAAGCAGGCCUUUGCUCGAAUACAUUAGCAUGGAAUAAUAGAAUAGGACAUCGGUUCUAUUUUGUUGGUUUCUAGGACCGCUGUAAUGAUUAAUAGGGAUAGUCGGGGGCGUCCGUAUUCAAUUGUCAGAGGUGAAAUUCUUGGACUUAUUGAAGACGAACUACUGCGAAAGCAUUCGCCAAGGAUGUUUUCAUUAAUCAGUGAACGAAAGUUAGGGGAUCGAAGACGAUCAGAUACCGUCGUAGUCUUAACCAUAAACUAUGCCGACUAGGGAUCGGACGGUGGUUUUUUUAUGCCCCGUUCG
rnacentral:rRNA from 1 species